rnacentral:lncRNA from 1 species
GGGAUUCGAACCCACGCCUCCAUUCGGAGACCAGAACACCCGUAGGUAAGGCUUGUCACCUUGAGUCUGGCGCCUUAGACCACUCGGCCAUCCUGACACUUGCUGAAACUGCUCAGCUCUACUUGUCCUGGAUCCUGUGAUGCAGCUGGCACUGUCCCUGGUCUCGAGCGUAGGAAUUGCUGGCUUCUUGCUUCGCUUGGAGAAGAUCCUAGGCCAGCACCGGACAGUGAGCUCUGUGCAGUCGCUGUCUGUGAACCCCAAAACGCACUUCUGGGUGAGACGAUUGCAGCACUGAGCCUAUGGAGUUGCAGCCGAGUACGCACCGUAACUCUUGCUCCCAUGCAAACGCACCCAGCAUUCGGAGGCCAGGCUAGGGGCUCUGCGUUUACCGCUCCGAGAGACCUGAGUUCGAUUUCUUUACAUAGCCCUGGAUGUUCUGGAAUUCACUUUGUAGAUGAGGCUGGCCUUGAACUCACAGA